GGGCUCGUAGCUCAUUGGGUAGAGCACCCGUCUUGCAAACGGGAGGCGGCCGGUUCGAACCCGGCCGGGUCCA
rnacentral:tRNA from 1 species